GCCGGAUCCCCCAGAUAACACCUCCCGGGUAACUUCCAUCAAUUAUCCUCACCACGAAGGCAGCCUACUCACGCGACCUCCCUCUCUCUCGUUUCCUCUCCCAUCUAACCCGUCGCCACGAGCAUCGCCAGCCAGCGGGAGAGGAACUGGAUCCGCUCUCCCAUGCAGCCACACCAGCUUCGUCGCCUAGAGGGAGGAGAAGAUGGCGGUGGCGGCUUCGAUCUAUAUAUGAUCUGCCUCGAUGCGGGUCUCCUCCAGUGAGCGCCUAUGCGGCGACGGCGACGGCGACAACGAGUGGAGGAGAUGAAGCGGAGGCAACUCGAGGGCCUCCUAGGGGGCCUGGUCCAGUUCUCCCCCGCCGCCUCCUCUGCUCGAUUUGGCCUCCAAAAAAAGGCAGGCGAUGCUCUGAUUCAGCUGUAUACUCAUUUCAUCUCUGAUUUUGAGGUCAAGAUCAACCUUCUUAAAUCUUCUCACUUCGCGGUAGUAGUUUCACGCCAGUAUUCAGAUAAAGAUGCUGGUAUAAGCUAUCUCGAAGGCGUAAUUUCGAAGCUGCGUGAUACCAAGGAAUCACGGGUUGAAGAGCCCAUUCUGUAUGUGAAGAUGCAGAUUGCAAGUUUUCUUCUUGAGAAAGGGAAUCAAAAGGAGUGUAAGAAACUGGUAGACGAGGGUAAAACCACUUUGGAUAGCAUGGGCGAUGUUGAUCCUUCAGUACAUUCAACCUAUUAUUCAUUAUGUUCUCAGUACCAUAAAGUGUGUCAAGACAAUUCUGAAUUUUAUAAAAAUGCUCUUCUCUAUCUUGCAUACACAACAGUGGAGUCACUUUUAGAACCAUUCAGACAGAACCUGGCAUUUGACCUCUCACUUGCUGCUUUAUUGGGUGACAACAUAUACAACAUCGGGGAGUUGCUUGCCCAUCCAAUUGUAUGUUCUUAUAUACUUAUAAUUUAUAUGUACCUUUCAUCUUUGUUGUCUGGUUACGCUUUACUACUUACUCCUUCCAUGCCAUAAUUCUUGUCACGGUUUGUUGUGGCGUGAGUGGGAUUCGGUUCCACGCCAAAUCAAGAAGUCCACUCCGACUGAUUAGACUAGCAGGUCCAUCCAUCCAUGUAUGCCUUUCCUUGUAUGCCUGAAUUUUUUCAAGGGAUCGGUGGCAGCGAGAUCCACGAGGAGCACGAGGCGGUGCAGCAAGAUGGACAAAGACGGUGUGGCAGCGGGGUGGGCAAGAAGAUGAGGGGAUUGAGGAGAGGGUGGAGGCAACGACAGUUUGCAACAAAUAAACAUCUAUCAUUGGUUGCAGUUUGGAUUACAAACUAUUACCAGGUUUAGUUGCAGGUUUGAGGACAACUAGCUGCAGGUCAUGUUCCAGAACCCCCCCUUUCAAUCUUCUCUCCCCAUGGACUGAAUAUGAGGAAAAUUGUGCUGACGAUCUUUUCUAUACUGAGCAAUGGUAGUUAUUUUGUUCCUGUGAAGCUCCAGGUUUGGCUGAUUGCUUGGAUGAUGAGUUUCAUAACCCACACAAGAAAUAGGAAAGAGAAGGUAAAGACAAGACACAAUCCAUUUGGUUUGUCAUUUUGAAGGCACAAAUAGAAACAAGAACACCAUAUAUGCUUUAUAAGGUUUUCUCUAAAUUUUGAGGAGCUUUGAAAGUUUGUCAGGGCAGAGAGGAUGGUUCUCAAGUAUGCUACUAUCAUUGAUGUUGUGUGGGAGCGCUAAAGAUUUGUGAAACUGCUAGCCACUAUCUACUUGUGCCUGCAAUUGUGUUUUAUACAGGACAGGGCUCUGCCGUUUCAGUGGUGCCAAGAUAUACCCGGGGAAUGUAUCAGAUUGGUCCAUUCAUACUCUCGAGUCCUCCUUUUGUCCAACUCAAAGUGCAAGCGCUAUUUCUGCAACCAUCUCAAGCCUGCUAAGCUUAUAUGGACUGCCAUGUACAGGAAGCAGCAGAAGAACGUAUACGGUGAUCUGAUUAGGAAGUGCAAGUACAAUGAUCUGGAUAUUCGUGUUGAGGCUGCAAAGAAGAGGCACCGGACCACCAAGAGUCCAUGUGGUCUCGCUGUUAAUCGCCUCUGGACGCGCCAUUGACGGCCAUAACCAACGUCUAUGCAUAGAAUCCAUGUGCCGUGUUUCCUGUUUCUCCGAGACCUUUUAAUUCUAUCGUAUGAUGUGAGGAAAUAUGCCUCUGCUUUAUCAUCUAUAUCAUCGUUCAUGUAACCUCUAAGAGUC
rnacentral:rRNA from 1 species